rnacentral:rRNA from 1 species
UACGAGGGGAGCAAGCGUUGUUCGGAUUUACUGGGCGUAAAGGGCGCGUAGGCGGCCACGACACGUCACUUGUGAAAUCUCCGGGCUUAACUCGGAACGGUCAAGUGAUACUGUCGGGCUAGAGUACAGAAGGGGCAACUGGAAUUCUCGGUGUAGCGGUGAAAUGCGUAGAUAUCGAGAGGAACACCUGCGGCGAAGGCGGGUUGCUGGGCUGAUACUGACGCUGAUGCGCGAAAGCCAGGGGAGCGAACGGG